rnacentral:rRNA from 1 species
GUAAAUAAUUAAGGGCGUAUGGUGGAUGCCUAGGCUCUCAGAGGCGAUGAAGGACGUGAUAAGCUGCGAAAAGCUCCGUUUAGGUGCAAAUAACCUUUGAUGCGGAGAUCUCCGAAUGGGAUAACCCAAUAUGUUGAAGACAUAUUAUACCGUAAGGUAGGCAAACGCAGGGAACUGAAACAUCUAAGUACCUGCAGGAGAAGAAAACAAACGUGAUUCCCCCAGUAGCGGCGAGCGACCGGGGAUAAGCCCAAACCGUUAUUGUUUCGGCAGUAGCGGGGUAGUAGGACUGCGACAUUGAUGAAAUAAAUGAAAUGGAACACUUUGGAAAAUGUGAUCACAGAGGGUGAUAAUCCCGUACAUGCAAGUUUAUGAAUCAUAGCAGACUCCUGAGUAAGUCGGGACACGUGUAAUCCUGACCGAAUCCGCCGGGACCAUCCGGCAAGGCUAAAUACUCCCGAGAGACCGAUAGUGAACCAGUACCGUGAGGGAAAGGUGAAAAGCACUUCGAACAGAAGAGUGAAAUAGUCCCUGAACCCAUACGCCUACAAGCAGUCGGAGCCGCUUCGUGCGGUGACGGCGUGCCUUUUGCAUAAUGAGCCUACGAGUUAGUCGUCACCAGCGAGGUUAAGGGCUUCAGGCCCGUCAGCCGAAGUGAAAGCGAGCCUUAACAGGGCGUAAAGUUGGUGGCGCUAGACGCGAAACCUUGUGAUCUACCCACGAGCAGGUUGAAGUCGCGGUAACACGUGAUGGAGGACCGAACCGGUAAACGUUGAAAAGUUUUCGGAUGACCUGUGGGUAGGGGUGAAAGGCCAAUCAAACUGGGAAAUAGCUCGUACUCUCCGAAAUGCAUUUAGGUGCAGCCUCUGUUGUUUUGUUCUAGAGGUAGAGCUACUGAUUGGAUGCGAGGGCUUCACCGCCUAUCAAAUCCGGCCAAACUCCGAAUGCUAGAACAUGAAGACAGGGAGUGAGCCAGCGGGUGCUAAGGUCCGUUGACGAAAGAGGGAGAACUCAGACCAUCAGCUAAGGUCCCCAAUUGUAUGCUAAGUUGGAAUUAAAACGGGGUGGGACUGCUUAGACAGCUAGGAUGUUGGCUUGGAAGCAGCCAUUCAUUUAAAGAGUGCGUAACAGCUCACUAGUCGAGCGGUCCUGCAUGGAUAAUACGCGGGCAUAAGCAUAUAACCGAAGCUAUGGGAUUGUAGAUGAUACAAUCGGUAGGAGAGCAUUCCAUUCAGCAUAGAAGCAGUACCGUGAGGUAUUGUGGAGCGGAUGGAAAAGCAAAUGUAGGCAUAAGUAACGAUAAUGCGGGUGAGAACCCCGCACGCCGAAAGAUCAAGGAUUCCCCGGCAAUGUCAAUCAUCCGGGGGUAAGUCGGAUCCUAAGGGUAAGCCGAGUGGCGAUCCCGAUGGCAAACAGGUUAAUAUUCCUGUACUGAUCAUAACUGCGAUGCAGCGACGCAGAGGUGACACUGCUGCGUACUGACGGAAUAGUACGUUGAAACCCGUAUUCUUUGAUACCGGUAGUGAAGCACGCCGGUAGAGAUGAAAGGUGAUAGUACCGCAAUGCUUCGGUUGCGCGGAUAACGCAGGUAAGCUGACUGCCAAGAAAACCUGCUAAGCUUCAGGUAAUGAUCAUCCGUACUGUAAACGGACACACGUGAUCAGGUAGAAAAUACUAAGGCGCUCGAGAGAUUCAUGGUUAAGGAACUAGGCAAAAUGGUCCUGUAACUUCGGGAUAAAGGACGCUCUUGUGAAAGAGCCGCAGAUAAUAGGCCCAGGCGACUGUUUACCAAAAACACAUGGCUAUGCUAAUUCGCAAGAAGAUGUAUAUGGCCUGACACCUGCCCGGUGCCGGAAGGUUAAGAGGAGAGCUCAGAGGUAACUCGAAGGUUUGAAUUGAAGCCCCGGUAAACGGCGGCCGUAACUAUAACGGUCCUAAGGUAGCGAAAUUCCUUGUCGGGUAAGUUCCGACCUG